GGUGGCUCAGGGGCAGAGUGCUUGCCUGGCAUGCAUGAGGCCCUGGGUUCGAUUCCCCAGCACCA
rnacentral:tRNA from 1 species